GUGUUUAGUUUUUGUAUACUACGUUCAUGACUGUUAUAGUUUGUAAUAGUGCGCCCGAGGGCGACGGUUCACAGAGGUUGGUUGGAUAUUAAAGCCCGUGAGGGCAUUCAAUAAUGAUCCUUCCGCAGGUUCACCUACGGAAA
rnacentral:misc_RNA from 1 species